GACGAACGCUGGCGGCGUGCUUAACACAUGCAAGUCGAACGGAAAGGCCCUGCUUUUGUGGGGUGCUCGAGUGGCGAACGGGUGAGUAACACGUGAGUAACCUGCCCUUGACUUUGGGAUAACUUCAGGAAACUGGGGCUAAUACCGGAUAGGAGCUCCUGCUGCAUGGUGGGGGUUGGAAAGUUUCGGCGGUUGGGGAUGGACUCGCGGCUUAUCAGCUUGUUGGUGGGGUAGUGGCUUACCAAGGCUUUGACGGGUAGCCGGCCUGAGAGGGUGACCGGCCACAUUGGGACUGAGAUACGGCCCAGACUCCUACGGGAGGCAGCAGUGGGGAAUAUUGCACAAUGGGCGGAAGCCUGAUGCAGCAACGCCGCGUGCGGGAUGACGGCCUUCGGGUUGUAAACCGCUUUCGCCUGUGACGAAGCGUGAGUGACGGUAAUGGGUAAAGAAGCACCGGCUAACUACGUGCCAGCAGCCGCGGUGAUACGUAGGGUGCGAGCGUUGUCCGGAUUUAUUGGGCGUAAAGGGCUCGUAGGUGGUUGAUCGCGUCGGAAGUGUAAUCUUGGGGCUUAACCCUGAGCGUGCUUUCGAUACGGGUUGACUUGAGGAAGGUAGGGGAGAAUGGAAUUCCUGGUGGAGCGGUGGAAUGCGCAGAUAUCAGGAGGAACACCAGUGGCGAAGGCGGUUCUCUGGGCCUUUCCUGACGCUGAGGAGCGAAAGCGUGGGGAGCGAACAGGCUUAGAUACCCUGGUAGUCCACGCUGUAAACGGUGGGUACUAGGUGUGGGGUCCAUUCCACGGGUUCCGUGCCGUAGCUAACGCUUUAAGUACCCCGCCUGGGGAGUACGGCCGCAAGGCUAAAACUCAAAGGAAUUGACGGGGCCCCGCACAAGCGGCGGAGCAUGCGGAUUAAUUCGAUGCAACGCGUAGAACCUUACCUGGGUUUGACAUGGAUCGGGAGCGCUCAGAGAUGGGUGUGCCUCUUUUGGGGUCGGUUCACAGGUGGUGCAUGGCUGUCGCCAGCUCGUGUCGUGAGAUGUUGGGUUAAGUCCCGCAACGAGCGCAACCCUUGUUCACUGUUGCCAGCACGUUAUGGUGGGGACUCAGUGGAGACCGCCGGGGUCAACUCGGAGGAAGGUGGGGAUGACGUCAAGUCAUCAUGCCCCUUAUGUCCAGGGCUUCACGCAUGCUACAAUGGCUGGUACAGAGAGUGGCGAGCCUGUGAGGGUGAGCGAAUCUCGGAAAGCCGGUCUCAGUUCGGAUUGGGGUCUGCAACUCGACCUCAUGAAGUCGGAGUCGCUAGUAAUCGCAGAUCAGCAACGCUGCGGCGAAUACGUUCCCGGG
rnacentral:rRNA from 1 species